UCGAUCGACCAAGAACAGGCAAAGAGAAGGGAAACCCUAAACUCAAUGUAUCAAGAAAUUGAAGCCUAAAUCACAAGAAAAUUCGAUGCAUGAGGCCUCUUUUGCGAAAAACUAACCCUAACUAGUGAAGUGUAUGAUGGGUCGAAGAAAAGAGGAGAAUCAAGCCAAGCAAAGGAAAUAGGAGCGCACAACUCCGGUAAAUCCUCAACUUAGGCGACUCGGCGAAAUGGAGCGAGCACAUGUCCAUGUCAUGUUAUACCAAAUGCUUCCGCUAGCUUAUGUUCAUCUUUAUGGUCCAUGACUUGUUAUUUUUUUUUUUUAACUUUGUUAGUAGUCGUACAUUUGUAAAGCUUGUCGACUUGCUUUGAGUAGUUUAAUGUCAAACGGAUCGUAGUAUGUUGUUUAGUUUAUUAUGUUAAAAACAGGGGGCACGUUCGUUUUACGAACGGGUCAUGCCGAAUUUUUGUAAAAAUUUUACUAUGUAUCAAAGUUGGUAUUUUUGAUGUCUUUAAAUUACUCUAGUAAGUAAUUUAUCUUUUUGAGUUGUGAAAGAUUCGUAUAUUUUGAAAAGUUUAUGUUUUCUAGCGUCUUUGGUUGUCACUUCUCCUAGACGCAAAAACGGACGUUUCAAGUUGGUAUCAGAGCCAAGAUUUGAGGGAUUCGGGCAAGAGUCUUAGUGCUCGAACUCAAACCAAAUGGCUCGUGCUAAUGUGCUCGCUCAAAGAUCGCCAAUGAGGUAAUACGCUAAGUUCUCAGUAAUAAUAAUGGUAUGUGUAAUAUGUUUCGGAUGCAAAAAUAAAAGCUAAGUUUAUAGAUGAAUAGAUAGGGAGGUCAUACGGAGAAUUCGGGAACCGUAUGGCUGGAAAUAUGCACGGGAAAUAGACAAGGUAACAAAAAAUAAAUAAAUAAAUAAAAUGACACAGCAGCGUUUCAGCAAUUCGGGAAGCCGUCGCCGACGGGCUCUUAUGCCGUCGCCGACGCCCCCAUUCAGCCGACGCCUAAACUUCCUGCCUACGGACAAAGUGGACGACGGCCCAUAAUUAGAACCCGUCGCCGACGGUAUGACCAGCCGUCGCCGACGGCCUUUACAAAGGUGAUCCGCAGAAAAAAAAAAAAUUCUUUUAUUUUAUAGUAUUUAUGUUUGGGAGUUCCGUGUGAUUCAAAGGACCAUUAGAUGAUAGCAUAGGGUCCUUAUAAGCAGGAUGAUAAGAUACUUAUGACCACAAUCCGUGAUCACAACGAAAAAGAAUUUAUAAAGAAUUAAAGGUAAUGAUGUGAAUAACAUAAGUUGAAAAAUGAGCCUUAGAUGAUCAAGAUUUUGAAUUGCACGAUUACAAGUGUAGUAAACAAAAGUCGAAGUAUGUGUUAUAUGGAAAGCUUAUGAUUUGUGUUAAACGGAAACAUGAUGUUGUGUUAAGCUAGUUCGCCAGAUUUUUUUUAUGUUUUUCAUGUUUUAGCCAAAAGUACUUUCCGAAAGCCACUUCAACGUUUACUUAGGGUCCAUGUAAGACCUAACAUGAUAUAUAUAACCACAAUUAGUGGUUACGAUGGAAAGAAAUUUGUAAAAGUCAAAAGUAAAGUGUCGAAUGACACGAAUGAACGCUGAAAGUAAAAAAAAAAAAUGAAAAUGAGUAAAGUCUAGAAUAUGAGAAUGUGAAUGAAGUAAAUACGGAUUAAUGAAUUAUGAUGUACUGAAGCUUGUAAAUUAUGAUUUAAGUUUCCAUACUUCUUAGAAAUGCCCGUUUUGUGUUCCUGUCAAGUCAUAAGAAGAUAUAACAAGAUCACGUAGAUCGUCGACGAUAAAGUAAAAUUUAUAAAAAGUCGAAUGUAAUAAAUGAAUGACAUGAAAUGAAUGAUGAAUGCAUAAAGUGGAGUUGGAAUUCGUAUGAAAAUUCGGAUGAAUGUAUGCUAUGAUAGAAUUAUGCAUUUGAGGCUUGUACCUUGUACAUGAAUGGAGUGAUGCUUAUGUGCAUUUAAUGAUUUGCUUUAGUAGGAUUAAGAGGCGAAUAUGUGCUAAAUGUGAAUCAUACGAGCUAACUAGUAAAGGAUAUGUUGAAAUUAUGUUAUAUAGUUGUUUCGAAUGAAAUUUGCUAACUAUAGAAUCAUGGAGCAUUAGCAUGUGAAAAUACGUGUAUGUGAAUGUAUAUGUGUAUUGUUUAGAGGAUCACGUAAAUUGUACAUGUCGUACAAUACGAGUAUGAGAGACGCAGGGUAUUAUUAUUAUGACCUACCAUAGUUAGAUGAACACAUGUCCGAAGGUUUGAAGUAUGUAAACGAGACAGUUGACUUUUUGACGGUCAACAAUAAAGGGAUAUCAUGAGAUAGCCAUUAGACACAAUUGAUUAAGUAAAGAGUUAAUGUGUUACGUACUAGAUGAAUUACGUGUUAUGAUGGAUGAUAGUUUAGUUGUAUGGAUUUGAAAUGAGAUGACUAUUAAUGAACGUCUCAAUUAUAUGAAAAUUUUACUAACGAAAGUCGAUUAAUGUAUGAAUAGAAAGAAAGUGAACAGUCGUAUGUAUGCUCACAUAAACUAAUGAUAUUACAAAAGUACUGAUAUGUAAGGAUGGAAAUCCGUUAAUUGUCGAACCGAAGGGUAAAAUGUGGAAUAUUUGAUUUUAGCAAGGUAGAUCCACCACGGAUAUAGUUGUGG
rnacentral:lncRNA from 1 species